CAUCAGUCCCCCCGGCUAGCAGCUGCAAUAUCCAUAUCUUCUUAUUUGUGGAUUUCGAAAACAGACAGACUUUUCCCACAGUGUGAGUGUGGGAUUUUCUGCCCUUUCUUCUCCUUCAAGCCUACAAUUUCCCGUUCUCUUUUCACUCUCAAGGGGGUAACACAAGCAUUAACGAUGAUGAAAGGGACUCCUAACAUCCAUGGGAAAUAUGUGAAAGUCAAGUGAAGUUAUUUCCCCUCAACUCAAAGGAACACCUAAAAGUAUUAGAAGAUUUUACAGUAUUCCACAUUCAAGACAGACUGAACUCAUUGAUGGCAAAAUUGGAACAUCAGCCAUCAAGCCUUAACCAUGGGUCAGUUCAGAUUUCAGAAAAGAGAUCAUUUUCGGAUCUCUGUCAAAAGCACAGGUUUUAAACUGGAUGACACCUUCUGCCCCACUCAUGAUUUUUCCAGGAGGUAAUAAAGAGCUUAUUGGUAGUUUCAUCAGAAGAUCCAACUUGAAGAACCCUCUACUUUUUUUUCUUCUUGCAGUGAUUGGGAUAUCAAGUAGCCCAAAACUAACAUCCUACAAACAUGGUGAAAUCCAGAAUUCUAGCAAAUAGCAGAGGGAGAAGGAAAGGCUGAUGCUCCUUCAAAGUUUCGUCCUCAAUAAAUGAAUAAUUUUUGUCUGAUGAUUCCCUGGAAGAUUCUACUUGUAAACAUGGCUGUAUUUGACCUGAGCUGAAGCUCCCCCAGUGAG